rnacentral:lncRNA from 10 species
CAAGACCAUCCUACCAUCGUGGUUAACAUGGUGAAACACCAUCUCUACUAAAAAUACAAAAAAAUUAGCCAGGUGUGGUGGCGGGUGCCUGUAGUCCCAGCAGGAGAAUGGCAUGAACCUGGGAGGUAGAGCCUGCAUGCAGAGAGCUGAGAUCACACCACUGCACUCCAGCCUGGAUAACUUCAGGAAUGCUUUAUAAUCUAAAUUUUGUCCUAAGGAAACCAGACAUGAUAGUAAUGCUGAAAAAUUAAAACUUCAUCUGAGAAUGAUUUCAUUGUUAAUGUAGGAAUAAAUUAUCUUUAAGAGUAGAUAUAUAUAUGUAACUUGUUAUGGGAAAAAACUGCUACAAUUCUUAAUAUAUAGAAGUUUGCUAAAUGAUAGCAACUUAUAAAACAAUGCUUUAAUUGGACAAUAAAAGUUAGCGAAUGCUGGCCGGGAGCAGUGGCUCACGCCUGUAAUCCUAGCACUUUGGGAGGCCGAGGCAGGUGGAUGGUUUGAGCUCAGGAGUUUGAGACCAGCCUGGGCAACAUGGCAAAACCCCGUCUCUACCAAAAAUGCAAAAAUUAGCUGGGCAUGGUGGCGCAUGCCUGUGGUUCUAGUUACUUGGGAGGCUGAGGUGGGACGAUCGCUUGAGCCUGGGAAGUAGAGGUUGCAGUGAGCUGAGAUCACACGACUGCACUUCAGCCUGGGUGACAGAGUGAGACCCCAUCUCAAAAACCAAAAACAAAAACAAACAAAAAUUAGUGAAUGCUUUAGAAAGACUUCGCUUUUAGAAAGGCAAAUUUCUAAAGAUGAGCCAAAAAACCUGGUACGUUAGAUAAGAACAUGACAAUGGCAGAAAACUGGGAAGGCUACAGAUUAUAUGAUUCCAUUUCUAUGCCACUCAAGAAAAAGGCACAAAUAUAGAGACAGAAAUCAGAUCAGGGGUUACCAGAUGCUACGGAUGGAGGUAGAGCAUUUACUAAAAAGGGGCAAAAUAAAAGAUUUUUUGGAUAGUGUCAAUGUGUUCUGGUGGUUUCUUACCACCACAGCAUACAAGUUUUUCAACAUUCAUACAACUGUAUGAAUUUGCACAACUGUACACCUAAUAAGGGUAAAUUUAUGCCUCAAUAAACCUGACUAAGAAAUGUAGUUGAUGCAUUGGGGUGUGUGUGGUUUGCAUUACUAAAAUGGAACUCUAGUAAGUGAUCUACUCUAAGAAAAGGCCUUGAUUCUAUAUCAAAAGACUGUUGAAUAAAUGUACAUAUAUGUCUUAAAUUGAAAUAAAAUGUUUAAGGUACAUAUGUGUUUAAUUUUGAGAACUGUCAUUUCAAGCAGACUUUUUCGAACAACUGAAUAACUGCCGAUCUAAUCACUUGGGAAGAGAGAGGUUCUAAAGUUUUAGAUUUUAGGUAGGAAAGAUAUAAUACCAGAAAGACAGAUACAGGGAGAGUGUUCCCAAAAUUAACUUUACCUAAUUCACAAUUUCACAUGUUCCCAAGAUAUUUCCCACAUUAUUCCAAGAGUAAUGACAUAAAUUUUUAACCUGUGAAACUGGAGUUGGAAAUUUCAUCAUUAACAUUCAGUGAAUGAAUAUUGUAUAGAAUCAAGUCAGAUCCUGAAGAUUUAAUGAGAUGUUUACAAUAAAACUGAGAAGACAGUGUACUUAAAAAUGACAGCAAUUCAAGCCCUCACUCUGCUCAACCCAAAACAAUAAAGAGAAGAACAAAGAGAAAUAUAUACACAUACCAUCUUUGAAAAGUCCAGCAGACAUAUUUUAACUAAAACCAUAACACACAGACUAAAAACAGAAGAAUAGUAAAUGAUGUAGCAAACAGGAGGCAGGGCAAACCUAAGCAGGUGCCAAGGAAAAGAACAACAACUAGCAGCCAAUGAGCCUCAAAUACCCUGGAAAUGUUGACAAGCUAGGUUUAAAAAGUAGCAAUAGUAGGGUUGAGGUUGGGCUGGAAACAGGAGUAUUAGAAAGUGUCAACAGUCAGUCCCUGGCAUUCCUACUCUUAUCCAUUAAGCCCCAGCAACUAUUGCCCCCCAAUUCCCACUGGAUAAGGACCAAGACGAAGAAGAGAGACUGCAGACUCAAGAGACACCAGGAACCAAGGAGUGAAGAGGUUAAAGGGAGAGGACAUGAUUAAGUAGAAGUACGUAUAUAGAACAAUGAACAUCUCUGCUUCCUUCACUUGACCAGUUCUAGAACAUAACAACCAGGUUUACACCCGACUUCCCAAACAAAAAGAGUUAUGAACCAGUUUUUAGUGCCAUGCUCUUCAAAGUGAACCAAAAUGUAAGGAUUAGUGGACAUUUGAGGGAAGGCUCCAUCAUGAAAAUAUGAAUGUAGAGAGUUGAGGAACUCUUAUAAGUAGAACAAAAAAGAUUUUUUUGUUCUUAGAGAAAAUAUAAGAAAAUUAAUAGAUUAAUUUAAGUGGUCCAAGAUACAACCAGUGAGUUCCAUAGAGAGCAGGAAAAAGUACAGCAAAGAAAUUAUCAAAGAAAUGACACAAGAGUACUUCCCAAAACUGAAAAGACAUGAGUCUUUGGAUUAUAAAGCACAAAUGCCAAGUACAAUGAAUAAAAGUAAAAACAAUAAAAAAAUAUUUUUUGAGGUAUAUAAUUAUGGAAUAUCAAAACACCAGGAAUGAUUCUAGGGGGAGGAGUUACAUUCAAUAGAUCAUAGAUAAUGGUAUCACACCAUGGGCACCACAGAAGACACUAGUGCAAUACUUCAAAAACUCUAUCCUAGAAUUACCCACCAAAAUUAUCAAUCAUGUACAAGGAUACACAUGCAAAAUCUCAAAAAUGUUACUCCCAUGCACGGUUUCUCAGAAAGUUAUUAAAAUGUGUUUCACACACACAAAAAGGAAGGAGUACAUCAUGAAAGAAGAAGACCUAGAAUCCAAGAAAGGAAUGCUAAGCUGAAGAUGAAAGACUGCCAGAGCAGAGCCAGGCAAAAGAGCUAGAGAAUUCAACAGUCCAGGCUGGAACAGGAGGGAAAAUGACUCCAGGAAGGAUUAUUCUAGGAAAACAAAAACAAAAACAAAAAUAAAGCAACAACAACCCGACAAAAAUCAGCACUGACAGAUAAUGUGACAGACUUUAUGGUAUAGAAAAUUAUACAGAGGCAUCUUACAAAACUGCAAAAUGAGGGAAGGUAUGGAAAGUGUUAAUCAGGGAUUUAAAAACAGAAACAAGAAACUAAGUAAAUUUAAAAUGAAAUUAUUAAAAUCAGGAAAAGCUUUUUUCAGGAAAGUACUGUUAAUUGACUCAGCAAAGUACACUGGAAAGAUAAGAUGAUUGAAAGAUGAAUGAAGAGAGCUAAGAUCUUCAACUGUCAUAACGCAGUAUCUGUAAAUGAAUAAUGCUAGAGAUGGCAGAAGUUACAACUAAGUUUUUCUCAUAUGCCUUUUUAGCAUUAUUUGACUUUUAAAAUAUAUAUUGAUGAAAAGAUAGGCUGACAUGAAAAUGGUAUAUACAUCAUAUUCUAAAUGCAAAAAAAUUAGCAUAUGCACACACACUCUGCUCAAUGGGUUCUCCGUAGUUAGGCUGCUACUUACAUAAACAUUCUAGUUUUCACAUUGGAUAACAAGUUACUGGAAGGCAGGAACCAUAUCUCCGUAUCUUCCUUCUAACUGUUGCUCUCACGGAAACAAAGCCUGCAGGACACAAAAUAAAUAUUCAAAAAGUAGUAUCAUUUUUGUAUGCCAAAAGUGAACAAUCUGAAAAAGAAAUCAAGAAAGAAAUUCCAUUUACAAUAGCUACAAAUAAAAUAAAAUAAAACACCGUAUGGUGCCGGGUACAGGGACACAAAGAUAUGGUUUAUGCUUAUGCUUAAUGUCUUUGCUAGACAGCUUGAGGGUAAUGGAAGGUUAUUUUUCUGUUCUCAUUGAACUUCCCAAUACCACAAAAUAUUAAUUAUUAUUAUUUUGAGUGUUCUUUUUUCUUUUUCUUUUAGCAAUUUCACUUCUCCGUGUAGAAACUCUCCCUUAAACAUACAAGGAGAUGGGUAAAUGAAUGUUCAUUGAAGUAUCAUGUAUAACAGAAAAAUAAUUGGAAAUGAUGUAAGUUUCCAUCCACCUGAGAAUGGAUAAGUAAAUUGUUUUGUGAUCACACAGUGAAAUACUACGGAUUAGUUAAAAUGAAUGAACUAGAACUGGAACUAAAAUAUGCAUAAAUCUCAAAAAAUGUAAUACUGAGUGAUAAAGUAGCAGAAAAUACAUAAAGUAUGCUACUGAUUACACUAAGUUUAAACACAUGAAAAUACUAGAUAUUUCUAUGUAUGAUAGGCAUUUUAGAAUAUCCAUGGUAAUAAUAAAAAAGUCAUAUUCAAGAUAGUUGUUAUAUCCUGUUGAGGAAAAAAAGAUUAUCAUAUAGCGUGCAGAAGGCUUUAGCUGAUUCACUUCAAAAAAAAGAAUCUGAAGCAAAUAUUACACAAGUUAAUACUUGACAAAGGUGAGUAGGGAGAAAAAAAGAGGUUGUUAUUACUUUCUGUAUGUUGAUGCUUGAAAUAUUUCAUUUAAAGAUGUAUAUGGCUCCUAGACUUUGGAAUUCUUGGCUUUUGUGAUUUUUUUUAUGUGUGUGUGUGUGCAGGAUUUUCUUUUUUUUCCUCUUCCCAUGUUGAAAUUCCAUCCAUUCUUUGAUAACUAGCUUGUCUCACCAGCUUAUUGAGAAUUUCCAUGAUGGCUUUGUCAGUUCACAGUGUGUUCUCACUUUUUUUUUGGAUUUAUUUAUUUAUUUAUUUAGAGAUAGGGUCCCGUUCUGUCACCCAGGCUGGAGUGCAGUGGUACAAUUAUAGCUCACUGCAGCCUCAAACUCCUGGGCUCAAGUGAUCCUCCUGCCUCAGCUUCUCAAGUAGGCAGCCUUUUUUUCCUCAACAAGCCACCAGAAGUGCUGACAAAGUUAA